GCGCUUGGAGAGGGGCUCGCGGCUGAUUAGCUAGUUGGUGGGGUAAUGGCCCACCAAGGCGACGAUCAGUAGCCGGCCUGAGAGGGCGGACGGCCACACUGGGACUGAGACACGGCCCAG
rnacentral:rRNA from 1 species